rnacentral:rRNA from 1 species
UACGAAGGGGGCUAGCGUUGUUCGGAAUUACUGGGCGUAAAGCGCGCGCAGGCGGCUAUCCAAGUCAGUGGUGAAAGCCCGGAGCUCAACUCCGGAACUGCCAUUGAAACUGUUUAGCUUGAGGACGAGAGAGGUGAGUGGAAUUCCCAGUGUAGAGGUGAAAUUCGUAGAUAUUGGGAAGAACACCGGUGGCGAAGGCGGCUCACUGGCUCGUAUCUGACGCUCAGGCGAGACAGCGUGGGGAUCAAACAGG